GUGUUCACCUCAGCAGUACAUAUACUAAAUUUAGUAUGGUGAAGAGAUUAGCAUGGCCCCUGCACAAGGAUGACAUGCAAAUUUGUGAAGCGUUCCAUAAUUUA